rnacentral:rRNA from 1 species
UACGGAGGGUGCGAGCGUUGUCCGGAAUCAUUGGGCGUAAAGAGCUCGUAGGCGGCUCGGUAAGUCGGGUGUGAAACCCCCAGGCUCAACCUGGGGACGCCACCCGAUACUGCUGUGGCUAGAGUCCAGUAGGGGAGUGUGGAAUUCCCGGUGUAGCGGUGGAAAUGCGCAGAUAUCAGGAGGAACACCAAUGGCGAAGGCAGCUCGCUGGGACGUGACUGACGCUGAGACGCGAAAGCGUGGGGAGCAAACAGG